rnacentral:rRNA from 1 species
UGGGGAAUAUUGCACAAUGGGGGAAACCCUGAUGCAGCGACGCCGCGUGAACGAAGAAGGUAUUCGUAUCGUAACGUUCUGUCCUAUGGGAAGAUAAUGACAGUACCAUAGAAGAAAGCUCCGGCUAAAUACGUGCCAGCAGCCGCGGUAAUACGUAUGGAGCGAGCGUUGUCCGGAAUUAUUGGGCGUAAAGGGUACGCAGGCGGUUUAAUAAGUCGAAUGUUAAAGAUCGGGGCUCAACCCCGCAAAGCAUUGGAAACUGAUAAACUUGAGUAGUGGAGAGGAAAGUGGAAUUCCUAGUGUAGUGGUGAAAUACGUAGAUAUUAGGAGGAAUACCAGUAGCGAAGGCGACUUUCUGGACACAAACUGACGCUGAGGUACGAAAGCGUGGGGAGCAAACAGG